rnacentral:rRNA from 1 species
UACGAAGGGGGCUAGCGUUGUUCGGAAUUACUGGGCGUAAAGCGCACGCAGGCGGUCUGCAUAGUCAGAAGUGAAAGCCCUGGGCUCAACCCGGGAACUGCUUUUGAUACUGGCAGGCUAGAAUCCGAGAGAGGGUAGUGGAAUUCCCAGUGUAGAGGUGAAAUUCGUAGAUAUUGGGAAGAACACCAGUGGCGAAGGCGACUACCUGGCUCGGUAUUGACGCUCAUGUGCGAAAGCGUGGGGAGCAAACAGG